rnacentral:rRNA from 1 species
CCAAUCGAACCCGGAGAUAGCUGGUUCUCCUCGAAAUAGCUUUAGGGCUAGCCUCAUACGAGUCUUGCGGAGGUAGAGCACUGAAUUUCCUAGGGGGCGUCAAAGCUUACCGAAGAAUAUCAAACUCCGAAUGCCGCGUAGAUGAUGUAUGGGAGUCAGACUAUACGAGAUAAGUUGGAUAGUCGAAAGGGAAAGAGCCCAGACCACCGGCUAAGGUCCCAAAAUGUGUGUUAAGUGGAAAAGGAUGUGGGAUUUCGAAGACAACCAGGAUGUUGGCUUAGAAGCAGCCAUACAUUAAAAGAGUGCGUAAUAGCUCACUGGUCGAGAGGUCCUGCGCCGAAAAUGUCCGGGGCUGAAACACACUACCGAAGCCGUGGAAUCAUCGCAAGAUGAUUGGUAGAGGAGCAUUCUUAAAGAGAAGAAGCUGUACCGGAAGGAGCAGUGGAUUUUUAAGAAGAGAGAAUGCCGGAAUGAGUAGCGAGAGGAAGGUGAGAAUCCUUCCGGCCGAAUAUCUAAGGUUUCCAGAGUAAAGCUGAUCUGCUCUGGGUAAGUCGGGGCCUAAGGCGAGGUCGAAAGACGUAGUCGAUGGAUAACAGGUUGAAAUUCCUGUACUAUCCUGUAACAGAACUGUGGGGACACAGGCAGAGAGCGUGAGCCGGGAAUGGAAAGACCGGUACAAGCGAGGUAGGAGAAGAGUUGGCAAAUCCGCUCUUUAAUCUGAAGACGUGAUGUGGACUGAAAAUAAGUAGGGAAGCACGUGAGCUGACUGUCAAGAAAAGCCGCUAUUGUUUGCAGGAUACCCGUACCGUAAACCGACACAGGUGGAUGAGGAGAGAAUCCUAAGGCCGACGGGAGAAGCAUUGUUAAGGAACUCGGCAAAAUGACUCCGUAACUUCGGGAGAAGGAGUGCCAGUGAGAGCUGGCCGCAGAGAAUUGGCCCAAGCAACUGUUUAGCAAAAACACAGGUCUAUGCAAAACCGAAAGGUGAAGUAUAUGGGCUGACGCCUGCCCGGUGCUGGAAGGUUAAGGGGAGAGGUUAGCGCAAGCGAAGCUUUGAACUUAAGCCCCAGUAAACGGCGGCCGUAACUAUAACGGUCCUAAGGUAGCGAAAUUCCUUGUCGGGUAAGUUCCGACCCGCACGAAAGGCGUAAUGAUUUGGGCACUGUCUCAACAAUGCACCCGGUGAAAUUGAAAUACCAGUGAAGAUGCUGGUUACCUGCGCCAGGACGGAAAGACCCCAUGGAGCUUUACUCCAGCUUGAUACUGGGAUUCGAUAUUGCAUGUACAGGAUAGGUGGGAGACUAGGAAGCGGUGACGCCAGUUGCCGCAGAGUCGCUGUUGGGAUACCACCCUUGCAGUAUUGGAUUUCUAACCAGCAGCCGUGAACCGGCUGGGGGACAAUGUCAGGUGGGGAGUUUGACUGGGGCGGUCGCCUCCGAAAGGGUAUCGGAGGCGCUCAAAGGUUCCCUCAGAAUGGUUGGAAACCAUUCGAAGAGUGCAAAGGCAGAAGGGAGCUUGACUGCGACACCGACGG